GGCAAAUGUUAACUCCAUCCCCCACCCACAGCCGGGUCUUGGUAGGGAGAGGGUGAAAUGAUGGACUAGGAGAGAUUUGGGUUCCUUGGACAGAUCUUGCCUUUUCCAGCAAGCUAUGGGCCCCUGGCCCUCACCUCCCGCUUCUCAGUUUCUUCACCUGGAAAAUGAAGAUGACUAAGGAACCUGGGCCUUGGAAGGUUCUGGGAAUUCAGUGGAGUCAGAUUUAAAUAGAUUUUACUGCGACAGGGGAGACCCCACCAAGCAGGGCCAAUAUAUGUGGUCCCAGGAGGUCAAGAAAUGGUGACUUUCCGUAUCCACUCCCGUCUUUCACUGCACGAAGCCCUCGGAAGAUUAUUCUAUAGCAGUACGAUGACAGCAUCCUCCUUCUAGGAACUACAUCGUCUUCCGUCUCUGGAUGUGCCAUCUUUUACUCAGCUAGUCUACAUCUCAGGUGUUCCCCAUCUUCUGCACACAAGUAUUUGCACAUGCGUGCACGUUCUUCAUUUGUGUAUUAUCUACGGCCCAGUUCUUGCUGCAGCAGCGGAAUCGAGAAGCUGCGGGAGAGACCCCGCAGCCUGCAAAGCUGAAAAUAUUUACUUCCUGGCCAUUCACAGAAAAUGUUUGCCAACCCAUGACCUAAAGCAUCAUCUCUCAGAGGGUUGGGAAGGAACCUGGAAGCUGUCCCAUUCAGAGGCGGGAGCUUCAACGGGACCCUGCGUCUUCUGCCUCCAAGGCCUGUGGUAGGGGCUGUCACAGGCUGCAGAGGAGUCCAGGAGGGAGAUGCUACAGGUAAGGCAGGAGGAUGGAGAAGAGAGAACAGACUUGAACUAGACUUAGGGUCACACCAGCAGCUGUGAGCAGCUGACGAGUGUUCCAGUGCAAGGAGAGGAGGGUGCAAGAGCCAGGGAUUAUACACUGAUUAGCCUCCAUCACCGCAGAAAUUAUCUUGCCUGUGCAUGGUGCGAGGGUCUGGAACAUACAUUUAACCAAGGCAAGGAGCGAAGUGAGAGGAAGCAAUAUUGUGGAUUGCAGGAGGUGAUGGAUGAGAUGAGAGAAGAAUCUGCAUGGUCAGAAUCUGUUUGGCAUCGGAAGGGAAGUACCCAGGAAAUUUGAGGAUCGCCUCGUCCAGUUGUCUGUGGAACUGAACUGUGAGUUGUCCAUGAGGGAUGAAUGGCAAUGCCAAUGUUUCCAGAGUUUCUGUCAUGAGGUCUCCUGGCUUGGAGAUGGAGAGGGCACACACAGGUUUCGGAUUCAAGCCUGCAGGACAGUCCUGGCUGCACCACUCAGGAACCCUGGGUGAGUCUCUUUACCCCUCACAGCCUCAGUUUUCCCUUCCUGGAAAUGGGACCACAAUCCAAACCUUGUAGAACUGCUUCAAAGAUGAAAGGAGACAUCGCAUGUGAGAUGCCGGCCCAUAGGAGCCAGGGCACGAAAGGCAGCUCCGCAUUGGGUCCCCAAAAAGUCUCCGCAGGUUGGCAGCCAAGAGAGCUACCAUUUCUUUGUUUGGAGAGAUUCCACUCCCUGGAAAGGGUAAUCCUGCAGGAAAGGAGGAGGGAGUCGUUCCAGAGUUUGGGAGAUGUCGGCUUUGACUCUGAGUGAUGCCGCCUCAAACACUUACUGUCAUACAGGAAGUUACUCAAACACAAUCAAUUAGACACCCAUAUUAGCAUAUUUGUCAUUGUAAUACAGCCGCAGAGAGGAGAUGCUGGAGACUGUUUAUUGCUGUUCUGAGCUAAUAUUUAUUAAAGUGAUUAAUAUGUUUUUCAAAUAUCUGUGACAGGCGUGGCAGGAAUUACUGAUCUCCUCCCUCGAGAGCCUGAAAGGGUGAGGGGUGGGAGUCACUUAGAGAGGGGCGGCAGGUAGGGGCCUUGGGGCCUCAGGGGACCGUGUCCUCCUCUGGGGCCCCUUUCCUGCUCGGGCCUCCUGCCUUCCAUCUUCCCCUGUCUCCUCCACCUUCAACUUCCCCUGUCUCCUCUCCUCCACCUUCAACUUCCCCCUCUACUGACCGUUCCCAUCGGCAUUCUGAGACAUCUCCCACCAUGACAAAUAGAGACCUCCCAGGAUGCCCUGUCCCCCUGCUCCUUCCUGGACCCCCUCAUCCCCAGCCAUUCUGCCAUCUUCCUCCUUCCCUCCAUAGCCAAACUCUUCAAAAGAACUCUUUUCCCUCCCUACCUCCUUUGCUCAUCUUCCAGUCUCUGCUUUUUAAAAAUCAUUACAAAAAAUUAAAAGUGGCUGGGCGCGGUGGCUCACACCUGUAAUCCCAGUACUUUUGGAGGCCAAGGCGGGAGGGAAUAACCUGAGGUCAGGAGUUCGAGACCAGCCUGGCCAACAUGGUGAAACCCUGUCUCUAUUAAAAAUACAAAAAUUAGCAGGGUGUGGUAGCUGGUGCCUGUAAUCCCAGCUACUCAGGAGGC
rnacentral:lncRNA from 1 species